UGAAGGUCAACUCAGAACUGCAGUGGAUUUAGGCCUUACAACCAACCAUUUACCCUGGAAACAUGAUAGCUGGAUCACAAAAAGUGUCUAAGGAAGAGUGAGUACAUUUAUGCAUCCAUUUUUUGUUCCUUCACAAACUUUAACAAAGAGUGUGCACACUGAAGAUUCUCAAAGGAAGUGGAUGUACAAGUUCUUCACUUCUCACAACUCCAGGAAGCUCCACUGAUCCAGCUCCAUGAGGGUAAAACUCUGUUGAAGGACAAAGAGGAAUUGUUUUAAUUCACUAUAACAGAAGUUUGCUUGUUUGUUUGUUGUUUUGGUUGAAGACAUUGCAAUGAUUCAGGGAGGCCACUAGAUGGGACUAAAGGAUAGAUUUCCUUUCCCCUCUUUUCUUUUAUAAGCCAAGGAUUUUGAAUCCAGGUGAGCAAUCUUUUGUUUAAUGAACCUUUUUGAUAACAGGAGCUGUUUUAACUUUCAAGGAGGAAAAUAACUUUUAAGAUUUAUUUGAUUUAAAAAGGCAGAAUUGUGUUUUUUUUCUUUUUUCUUUGUUUUUUCCCCCCCUUUUUUUUGAUUUUGUUUAGUGUUUUUCUGUGUGUGCUGCUGAUUUUCUUUACUUACCUUUGGAUUUGUGCUUUACUCCUUAGUAUAGAACCCUUAAUCAUGUCUCUUCCCCUCCAUAAUCGCUUUACGCCUCUGAUGGAUACCACAUCUUCAGGAAGAUGUAUCUGCUCGUGCCACUGAACCCAAUGUAGUUCUCCCUGCGCCUCCUGGUGUCAACUUGGCGUUGAUUCAGGUCCAUCGUGCAGCCUCCCCGCAGCCCCGUAGGGAUGAAACGGAGAAUAUAGAAUCUGAAACGAGUGAAACACAGGGUUCCUCGAACGACGGUAGGGGAGACCCCUGUAACGGUUAACAAAAAACAGGAGGGAGAGCGACAAAUGAUGACGGGUGAUAUGACAAGAGAGAUGUCUCUUGGAAUCAAACCCCAGUCUGAGUCCCUUUCACAUACCCCUGUGAUGAGCCCUCUGGGGGGUCCUGCCCCGUCCGUUCGUCAGGAACCUGUGAGGCACAGGAGAACAAACAGGAAAAUUUUCGAUUGGGAAAUUUCAAUUAACAAAAAAGUAGUAAUAAUGGGUGAUUCGAAUCUGUCCCGAGUUCCAUUCUUCACCCAUGCUGACGUACAAAUUGACAGCUUUCCUGGGGCCACCUUUUAUCACAUUAAUGGGGUGCUGGAAAAAUUAUCACCACAACUCUUUACGGAGGUUGUCGUUCUGUCAGUGGGACUUAAUAAUUGUCUGGCAAGACAGGAAACGACAACGUCAUGUAAACAGUUACAACAGUU